AGCCAACGCAGACUGGCGUGCCCCAGCCAUCUCUGGGCGAGUAUCUCUUUGAGCGGCUCACUCUCAAGCAUGAUUAGGAGG
rnacentral:pre_miRNA from 1 species